GGCCUUAUAUUCAAUUGUGAUUCUAGACUGCAAUUCUAGAGGUGUAAAUAGCUUUACUAAGGCCU
rnacentral:tRNA from 1 species